rnacentral:rRNA from 1 species
UGGCAGACGGGUGAGUAACGCGUGGGGAAUCUACCUUUUUGUAGGGAAUAACGCUCCGAAAGGAGUGGUAAUACCGCAUGAGACCGUGAGCUGGGAUGCUUGCGGUGAAACCUGGGGACCGCAAGGCCUGGGGCAAAAAGAGGAUCCUGCGUCUGAUUAGCUAGUUGGCGGGGUAAUGGCCCACCAAGGCGACGAUCAGUAGCCGGCCUGAGAGGGUGAUCGGCCACACUGGAACUGAGACACGGUCCAGACUCCUACGGGAGGCAGCAGUGGGGAAUUUUGCGCAAUGGACGAAAGUCUGACGCAGCAACGCCGCGUGGGUGAUGAAGGUCUUCGGACUGUAAAACCCUGUCGUCAGGGACGAAGGUGCUCGUGUUAAUAGCGCGAGUGCUUGACGGUACCUGGAGAGGAAGCCCCGGCUAACUCUGUGCCAGCAGCCGCGGUAAUACAGAGGGGGCAAGCGUUAUUCGGAACUAUUGGGCGUAAAGGGCGCGUAGGCGGUUUUUUAAGUCAGAUGUGUAAUCCCCGAGCUCAGCUUGGGAACUGCAUCUGAGACUGGAAGGCUAGAGUACUGGAGAGGGUGGUGGAAUUCCUCGUGUAGCGGUGAAAUGCGUAGAGAUGAGGAGGAACACCAGUGGCGAAGGCGGCCACCUGGACAGUAACUGACGCUGAGGCGCGAAAGUGUGGGUAGCAAACAGGAUUAGAUACCCUGGUAGUCCACGCUGUAAACGAUGAACACUUGGUGUGGAGGGAGUUGACCCCUUCCGUGCCGGAGCUAACGCGUUAAGUGUUCCGCCUGGGGAGUACGGUCGCAAGGCUGAAACUCAAAGGAAUUGACGGGGGCCCGCACAAGCGGUGGAGCAUGUGGUUUAAUUCGACGCAACGCGAAGAACCUUACCUGGGCUUGAAC